rnacentral:lncRNA from 1 species
GCUCAUGUGCAUCAUCUCACUUUAGGAAGAACUCCUGAACAAUUGAUGAUAGAGUGAGCUGCCAGGCAUGUUUAAGCAUAGACUAAUGAAUCCACUAGACUAGAUGAACUUAAAGAUUGUGUCCAACUCAGGCUGUGAAUCAACCUAGAGGUGCUUCCAAGUCAGCUUCUAAACUGAGAGGAAACAGGGAACAAACGCAAUAACACCUGCAUCAAUUCAUCCUUGUGUGUCUCCGUUUAUACUUUUGAAAAAGGAAAAAAGUGAAAAGACAAGUUUGUCUUUACCACAUGGGGAACUGGUUGAGUUAGACAUCUCAUCCUUUAAGAUAUUCAAGGGGAUAUUGGCUGCCUGUCUUCCUGGGGAAUUCUGCACUGGGUAAGAAGAUGGACCACAUGCCCUGAGGUUCCUUCUAACACCAAGACUAAGGGAAAGCUGUAUUUUAUACUUGGCUCUACUACUUUCUACACUGACUUUGAGAGAGCCUUGUUUUUCACUCUCUGGACCUCAAUUAUCUUUCCUAUUACAGGAAGGUAUUGGACUCUGUGACCUUUAAGAGUUUUAGAGAACUCACAUUCUAAAAUUAUAAGAUUUUAUAAAGAAUAUGUGGAAGCUUCAUUCUUCCACAUUCUCUAAGAAAAAUUGAUCCUGAGUUCUGGUCCUAGUGAGAUUAUGGUGGCAGUGUAGUUUCUUAAUCUUUUCAAAACUCCUCCAGAAAACCAAACAGAAAAUUAGAAAUAGUGUAAAAAUAUGCCUAGAUUAUAUAUUUUUAAAUACUAGGUGAUAGGAAACAUCUCUAAACCCUACAGUACUGCUGUAGUCAAAACCACAUGUAGAAAUGGCACCUAAAGGCAAUCCGCUGUGGAGUCGUGGCAGCAACUGAGCAGGGUAGAAACACUGGGGUUCAGAUGGUGCGAGGUGGCAGAAACAGGAAAAGAGAGUGGUGGGCUCAAUGCAAACCUUUGACAAGCCCUGUAAGCUAUAGAACCCAAGAUCACCCAUGAAGACUCACCCUUAAAAGAAGGCCUAAUCUGGAAUAAAAAUCUGUGUGGACAAGCCUGAGAAUAACUGUGAAACUACUAUUCCGAUAUGCUCAGAGUUGCAAGUGAAAGCAGGAGCCUGCAGACAGCAUCACAAGAGACCUGAGAGUGAGGCAGUAGAGCAAACCCUGGAUGAUUGCCAAAAUAUCCAAUAAUAUCCUUUUCCAGAGGGGAAAACCGCCAGAAGCAGACACGUUGAGCCGGGCAGUAACUCUGGACAGUUGAGAUGCCAAAUGAGGAGUCAUAUUUCUCAUUCCCUCAGCUUCUAAGGACUAGAUAAGGCAAACUGUGACGCAGAAAGAUAAUUAUGCAGACUGCUAGAGUUAUUGCUGGAAGUGCUUCAAGUUCUCAGCCUGAAAGUUGUCUUCACAGACCAUCGUACUCAUACUCUGACUUCUAGAUGGGGUAAUGGGGAAGCCAGCCCCACAGAGUGUUCGUGCUACUUUCUGGCUCUCCUAGACUAUAUAUAUAUAUCUGCCUUGUAUAGCACCACCAUGGAUGCCUGACCCCUCCUUCUCAUCCAGAUAUAGUCACAGACCUCGCUCUCUAGAGUCCUAAGUAAACACUAGUUAACUGGCUAACUUCAUGAGCAUGUGGCCUGUGCUUGGUUUAAUGCUCUGCUGUUGCCAUCAUGAAAUACUUACUUUUAUCUUUGGACCUGUGUGUUGUCCGAUGGGAGUGGAGGAGAUGCACGCAAUAUGGGUGGCUCCUGUUCUUGAUGCCUCAUUUGCAUACAGUGUUCACAGUGCUCCAUGAGCACAGAAUUCCGAUGGGUCCACAACGAAAGGGACUUUAUGAUACUGAAAGCAAGCAUGAGGAACAUUUGAUCUGGGCUUGAUAAAUGGACACACAGAUGAAGGAAGAAACAAAUGAAGUAUGGCACCUAUGAAGGCUGGAGGACUCAGGGACAACUCCUGGAUGAGAUGAGCUGUGAUGAGGACACAAAGGGUAAGCAAGAGUUAGAUGGACAGGAUUAAAAUUCUACAGGUGCAUUAGAGCCACAGAAACAGAGAGGUCAGGAUACAUUUAGCCUCUGUAGGGGAUAGGCAAAGUUGUCUAAUGAAUCGUUGCCUGAAUUCCUUAUAUAUACUCAUAUUCAGCAAACGUGGUCUAUGUCUUAUCUGGUCUUCCUUACAAGCCCCCAUAUCCCCUGAGUGAUGACAAAGAGACUAAAGUUUAAUCUACCAUGAUAUAAAACAUGGCUUAUUCUAAGGUAAUGUCCCGAAUUUGGGGAUGGUACUCAGUCUCUCCUAUUCUUUCCUCUUCUUUU